UGGGGAAUAUUGGACAAUGGGGGCAACCCUGAUCCAGCAAUGCCGCGUGAGUGAAGAAGGCCUUAGGGUUGUAAAGCUCUUUCACCCGUGACGAUGAUGACGGUAGCGGGAGAAGAAGCCCCGGCUAACACCGUGCCAGCAGCCGCGGUAAGACGGAGGGGGCUAGCGUUGUUCGGAAUUACUGGGCGUAAAGCGCGCGUAGGCGGUUUGCCAAGUUGAGGGUGAAAUCCCGGGGCUCAACCCCGGAACUGCCUUCAAAACUGGCCGACUUGAGUCCGGAAGAGGAGAGUGGAAUUCCCAGUGUAGAGGUGAAAUUCGUAGAUAUUGGGAAGAACACCGGUGGCGAAGGCGACUCUCUGGUCCGGUACUGACGCUGAGGUGCGAAAGCGUGGGGAGCAAACAGGAUUAGAUACCCCUGUAGUCC
rnacentral:rRNA from 1 species